CAGCACAGAGAAGCAAACUGGGACAGACAUCAGUCUCUUAAACAGCAGCGUUCAGGGUGGUUUAUAGCUCACCUGCUGAUGAUUCUGGACUGGGACCUCCUGGACCUCCAUCAGGGCCAUCUUCCUGCCUGCCGCAGCGGAUGUGGGUAAAGCCUGCAAGCUUCCGAAGCGCUCUCACCUCACCGGAGAAGGCUCCCAGUGGACCCCUGCAGCAUUUCUACCUAAACAACUGCUCCCCACUUGGGCCGCACGGCACAAGAGCAGAGAAGGAUCCUUGGGGCUUGCUGGCUGCCGGCUGUAGGUUCAGUGAGAGGUCUCAGGAAAGAUUGCAGGAACAACGAGAGAGGACAGCUGGUGUCUUCUGACCUCCUCAUACAGAAGGAGACACAUACAUGCAUGCACCACAGGCACAUUUUACAUACACGCAUGAAAUUGUUUUGUUGCUCCACACCCCCCCCCCAGGCCCAGAGGGGUCUCGGCCCCCAGGUUGAGAGCCGCUGCGUCGCUCCUUUUGGCUCUUAGACUUCUUAGACAGCGCAGACUAAGAAACUUGAACUUUCCCAAGGAUCUUGUGCCGAGAGCCGUGCAGGCUGAGACCCUCUGGGCAGACAGGAAGAUUUACAGUCUGUUAGAAGUCACCAUAGGACAGUCUGGCAUCGAGGACAGGGGUGGUUCCAGUGACGUUGGCUAGGGCUUGCUUGGACACCCCUCCCCCCGAGUCUGACCAAAGUACAGACAAAUUUCUAAUUAUUUUUUCUAAUUUCUUCUUCCUGUUGUUUUGAGACGAAGUCUCUUUCUAUAGGCCAGGUUGGCCUUGAAGUCAAGGCAAUCCUGCCUCAGAAUCCCAAGAUCCUGUGAUUAUAGGCAUAACUAAUUAAAAAAAACAAAAAACA